rnacentral:rRNA from 1 species
GACGAACCGAGCGAACGUUGUUCGGAAUCACUGGGCUUAAAGGGCGCGUAGGCGGGCGGCCGCGUCCGGGGUGAAAUCCCACGGCUCAACCGUGGAACGGCCUCGGAUACGGGCGGCCUGGAGGCGGGUAGGGGCAGGCGGAACUGUGGGUGGAGCGGUGAAAUGCGUUGAGAUCCACAGGAACUCCGGUGGCGAAGGCGGCCUGCUGGACCCGAACUGACGCUGAGGCGCGAAAGCCAGGGGAGCGAACGGG